rnacentral:rRNA from 1 species
AUGGUGUGCACCAUGUGUCGCGCCCUUUUGCUCCUUGGCCUCUUCCUGAUCCUGACGCCGCUGGUGUGUGGGUACACCGACGGCGGGUUCAGCGUGGAGCUCAUCCACCGGGACUCCCCCAGGUCGCCGUUCCACGACCCGUCGCUCACUCCGCACGGCCGCGUGCUUGCCGCCGUGCAGCGCUCGUACGCCGGCUCAGGCUCUCCCGACCCUGACGGCGCGGUGUCGGAGGUGAUCUCAGGCACGUUCCAGCUCUUCAUGUACGUCAACGUCGGCACGCCACGCACCCGGAUGCUGGCCCUCGUCGACACCGGCAGCGACCUCGUGUGGCUCAGAUGCACCAACGGUUCUGCUUCUCCGGCACCGCCGCCGCCAGCAGCGGCAGCAGCAGCCGGCGGGACGAGCAGCGUGUUCGACCUGUCCUCCUCGUCGACCUACGGCCUCGUGGGCUGCCAGUCCGACUCGUGCCACUCGGUCCACGGCACCUCCUGCGACGCCACCUCCUUGUGUCAGUACAGCUACUCGUACGUGGGCGGCUCAAGCAGUAGCGGCCUCGUCUCCACCGAGACCUUCACCUUCGACGACGCUCCCGGUGGCCCGCAGCUGCAAGUGCCCAGAGUCAACUUCGGCUGCGCCACCACCGCCAACUUCCCCGGUUACGGCAUCGUAGGCCUCUCGGACGGGAAAUCUUCCCUGAUCAACCAGAUGAGCGCGGCCACGUCGCUCGGCCGGAGGUUCUCCUACUGCCUCGCGCCCUACUUAAGCGACGCGUCCUCGGCGCUCAACUUCGGGUCCCGCGCCACCGUGACGGAGCCGGGCGCGGUGACCACGCCGAUGGAGGCUUCCUACACCGUCGAAAUCGUGGCCGUCAGGGUUGGGAACUCGAUCAUCAAGCUGCCGAAUUCGAAGCGGUCCCCCGUCAUCGUCGACUCCGGGUCGAUGCUGACGUCCCUCGACGGGGAGCUGCUGGACCCCAUCGUGGAGGCGCUCGCCCGGAGCAUCAAACUCCCGCGCAAGCAGUCGCCCAACCCGGAGCUGUUUUCGGUGUGCUACCAGGCGGACGGCAUGAAGGCGCUGGAGAAGGUUUUCCCGGACGUCACCUUGGAGCUGGGCGGGGGCGCCUUGGUCAAGCUCAAGGCGGAGAACGUGUUCAUGGACCUUCUGCUACGGACCGUGUGCUUGGCCAUCGUGCCGGUGAAGUAUGAGGGUUCGGUUCCGACGAUCGGCAGCGUCAUGCAGCACAACAUGCAUGUCGGCUACGACCUCGACAAGCGCACCAUCACCUUCGCCCCUGCCGACUGCGCCACCUCUUUCCCCUCUCCUCCCGCCUCUGUUGUCUAG